rnacentral:rRNA from 1 species
UGUGCUUCACACAUGCAAGUCGAGCGAGGUAGCAAUACCUAGUGGCGGACGGGUGAGUAACGCGUGGGAAUCUGCCUUUAGAUGGGGGAUAACGGGUCGAAAGACUCGCUAAUACCGCAUAUGACGAAAGUUGAAAGGAGUAAUCCGUCUAAAGAUGAGCCCGCGUCCGAUUAGCCAGUUGGUAGAGUAAAAGCCUACCAAGGCGACGAUCGGUAGCUGGUCUGAGAGGAUGAUCAGCCACAAUGGGACUGAGACACGGCCCAUACUCCUACGGGAGGCAGCAGUGGGGAAUUUUACGCAAUGGGCGAAAGCCUGACGUAGCGACACCGCGUGAGCGAAGAAGCCUCUUGGGGUGUAAAGCUCUGUCAGCUGGAACGAAAAAAAUGACGGUACCAGCAGAGGAAGCAUCGGCUAACUACGUG